UGGGGAAUUUUGGACAAUGGGCGCGAGCCUGAUCCAGCAAUGCCGCGUGCAGGAUGAAGGCCUUCGGGUUGUAAACUGCUUUUGUACGGAACGAAACGGCUCUGUCUAAUACAUGGGGCUAAUGACGGUACCGUAAGAAUAAGCACCGGCUAACUACGUGCCAGCAGCCGCGGUAAUACGUAGGGUGCAAGCGUUAAUCGGAAUUACUGGGCGUAAAGCGUGCGCAGGCGGUGAUGUAAGACAGGUGUGAAGUCCCCGGGCUUAACCUGGGAAUUGCAUUUGUGACUGCAUCGCUGGAGUGCGGCAGAGGGGGAUGGAAUUCCGCGUGUAGCAGUGAAAUGCGUAGAUAUGCGGAGGAACACCGAUGGCGAAGGCAGCUGACGAAACUAUAACUGACACUGAGGCUCGAAAGUGCGGGGAUCAAACA
rnacentral:rRNA from 1 species